GAUGAACGCUGGCGGCGUGCCUAAUACAUGCAAGUCGAGCGAACAGACGAGGAGCUUGCUCCUCUGACGUUAGCGGCGGACGGGUGAGUAACACGUGGAUAACCUACCUAUAAGACUGGGAUAACUUCGGGAAACCGGAGCUAAUACCGGAUAAUAUAUUGAACCGCAUGGUUCAAUAGUGAAAGACGGUCUUGCUGUCACUUAUAGAUGGAUCCGCGCCGCAUUAGCUAGUUGGUAAGGUAACGGCUUACCAAGGCAACGAUGCCUAGCCGACCUGAGAGGGUGCUCGGCCCCACGGGAACUGGGCCAAGGUCCAGACUCCUACGGGAGGCAGCAGUAGGGAAUCUUGCGCAAUGGGCGCAAGCCUGACGGAGCAACGCCGCGUGAGUGAUGAAGGUCUUCGGAUCGCAAAACUCUGUUAUUAGGGAAGAACAAAUGUGUCAGUAACUAUGCACGUCUUGACGGUACCUAAGCAGAAAGCCACGGCUAACUACGUG
rnacentral:rRNA from 1 species